UACCUUAGGAGUUGAUCAAGGAUCAGGCAGUUCAUUUAGCUGUCAUGUCUCCUUAGUCUUCUUUAAUCCAAACAUUUUCUCAGCCUUUGUCUUUUGUGACAUCAACAUUUUGAAAAAUUUAAGCCAGUUUAUAUAUAUGUAUUUGUUUGAUGUUUCCUCAAAAUUAGAUUUAUACUGAAAUUUGGACAGGUAGAUUGUCUCUCAUGGUACAUAAGCUUCACACCAACAUCUCCUAAAUCUUUUUUUCCUUCAAAUUAUUUAAUCUAGUCAAGAGAUUUGGCAGUUGUACAGCUUUUCCACUAAACAGCCCUGUGUAACUUGGGAUUUUUCAGGCACACAGUAACUUUCUUUGACUUGCUACAUCUUGGUGUAUAAAGACAUCUCAAGAGCUAAUUAUCCAAGGGCUUUCAGAACUCAGGCUGCACACCUAUGACCAUCUGAUCUUCAACAAAGCUGACAAAAACAAGCAACGGGGGAAGGACUUCCUAAUCAAUAAAUGGUGCUGGGAUAACUGGCUAGCCAUGUGCAGAAGAUUGAAGCUGAACCCCUUCCUUGCGCUAUAUAUGAAAAUCAGCUCAAGAUAGAUUAAAGAGUUAAAUGUGAAAUCCAAAACUAUAAAAACCCUGUAAGACAACCUAGGCAAUACCAUCCUGGACACAGGAACAGGCAAACAUUUCAUGACAAAUACACCAAAAGAAAUUGCAACAAAAGCAAAAAUUGACAAAUGGGAUCUAAUUCAACUUAAGAGCUUCUGCACAGCAAAAGAAACUAUCAGAGUAAAGAGUCAAUCUACAGAAUGGGAGAAAAUUUUUACAAACUACGCAUUAGAAAAAAGUCUAAUAUCCAGCAUCUAUAAGGAAUUAAACAAAUUUACAAGAGAAAAAUAAAUAUCCCCAUUACAAAGUGGGCAAAAGUCAUGAACAGACACUUCUCAAAAGAAGACAUACAUGUGGUCAACCAGCAUCUGAAAAAAUCCAAUAUCACUGAUCAUUAGAGAAAUGCAAAUCAAAACCACAAUGAGAUACCAUCUGACACCAGUCAGAAUGGCUAUUAUAAAAAGUUAAACAAACAAACAAAAAACAACCCAACAGAUGCUGGUGAGGUUGCAGAGAAAUGGGAACACUUAUAUACUGUUGGUGGGAGUGUAAAUUAGUUCAGUCAUCAUGGAAAGCAGUAUGGCAAUUCCUCAAAGAACUAAAAACAGAACUACCAUUCAACCCAGCAAUCCCAUUACUGGGUAUAUACCCAAAGGAGUAUAAAUCAUUCUACCAUAAAGACACAUACACAUGUAUGUUCACUGCAGCACUAUUCACAAUAGCAAAGACAUGCAAUCAACUUAAAUGCUCAUCAAUGACAGACUGGAUAAAGAAAAUGUGGCACAUAUACACCACGGAAUAUGAUGCAGCCAUAAAAAAGAACAAGACCAUGUCUUUUAUGGGAACAUGAGUGGAGAUGGAGGCUAUUAGCCUUAGCAAACUAACAAAGGAAUAGAAAACCAAAUACCACGUGUUCUCACUUACAGGUGGAAGCUAAAUGAUGAGAACUCAUGAACACAAGGAAGGGAACAACAGACACGGGGGUCUACUGGAGGGUGGAGGGUAGGAGGAGGGAGAGGAGCAGAAAGAUAACUAUUGGGUACUGGGCUUAAUAACUGGGUAAUGAAAUAAUCUGUGCAACAAACCCCUGUGACAGAAGUUUACCUGUAUAACAAACCUUCACAUGUACUCUUGAACCUAAAAUAAAAGUUAAAAAUGAACACAAAA